GACGAACGCUGGCGGCGUGCUUAACACAUGCGAGUCGAACGGAAAGGCCCUGCUUUUGUGGGGUGCUCGAGUGGCGAACGGGUGAGUAACACGUGAGUAACCUGCCCUUGACUUUGGGAUAACUUCAGGAAACUGGGGCUAAUACCGGAUAGGAGCUCCUGCUGCAUGGUGGGGGUUGGAUAGUUUCGGCGGUUGGGGAUGGACGGGCGGCUUAUCAGCUUGUUGGUGGGGUAGUGGCUUACCAAGGCUUUGACGGGUAGCCGGCCUGAGAGGGUGACCGGCGACAUGGGGACUGAGAGACGGCCCAGACUCCUACGGGAGGCAGCAGUGGGGAAUAUUGCACAGUGGGCGGAAGCCGGAUGCAGCGACGCCGCGUGCGGGAUGACGGCCUGCGGGGUGUAAACCGCUGUCGCCUGUGACGAAGCGGGAGUGACGGUAAUGGGUAAAGAAGCACCGGCUAACUACGUG
rnacentral:rRNA from 1 species